CUUGCUCUCUGGGUGGCGAGUGGCGGACGGGUGAGGAAUACAUCGGAAUCUACUCUGUCGUGGGGGAUAACGUAGGGAAACUUACGCUAAUACCGCAUACGACCUACGGGUGAAAGCAGGGGAUCUUCGGACCUUGCGCGAUUGAAUGAGCCGAUGUCGGAUUAGCUAGUUGGCGGGGUAAAGGCCCACCAAGGCGACGAUCCGUAGCUGGUCUGAGAGGAUGAUCAGCCACACUGGAACUGAGACACGGUCCAGACUCCUACGGGAGGCAGCAGUGGGGAAUAUUGGACAAUGGGCGCAAGCCUGAUCCAGCCAUACCGCGUGGGUGAAGAAGGCCUUCGGGUUGUAAAGCCCUUUUGUUGGGAAAGAAAUCCAGCUGGCUAAUACCCGGUUGGGAUGACGGUACCCAAAGAAUAAGCACCGGCUAACUUCGUGCCAGCAGCCGCGGUAAUACGAAGGGUGCAAGCGUUACUCGGAAUUACUGGGCGUAAAGCGUGCGUAGGUGGUCGUUUAAGUCCGUUGUGAAAGCCCUGGGCUCAACCUGGGAACUGCAUUGGAUACUGGGCGACUAGAGUGUGGUAGAGGGUAGCGGAAUUCCUGGUGUAGCAGUGAAAUGCGUAGAGAUCA
rnacentral:rRNA from 1 species